rnacentral:rRNA from 1 species
UACGGGGGGGGCAAGCGUUGUUCGGAAUUACUGGGCGUAAAGCGCGCGUAGGCGGACCUGCAAGUCGGGGGUGAAAGCCCGAGGCUCAACCUCGGAACUGCCUUCGAUACUGCGGGUCUCGAGUCCGGGAGAGGUGAGUGGAAUUCCUAGUGUAGAGGUGAGAUUCGUAGAUAUUAGGAAGAACACCAGUGGCGAAGGCGGCUCACUGGCCCGGUACUGACGCUGAGGCGCGAAAGCGUGGGGAGCAAACAGG